rnacentral:rRNA from 1 species
UAGUCAAUGCUCGCAAGAGUGAACUAGCUAACUGAAAUCAAAGAGUUUCUUUAAACUCCUGAUGUCGUAAGGGAAAAUAAUGAUAAUACCUUACUAAUAGUGUCGUCCAAAUCUGGUGCCAGAAGACUCGGUAAGACCAGAGACGCAAACGUUAAUCAUCAUAAUCAGGCGUAAAGGGUUUGUAGGCAGCUUUCAAAUUAAAAAUAUAAUAAAAUAUAAAGUAUAUAAAUGAAAGCUAGAAUCAAAAAGAGGUUAUAGUGUAGAACGCCUAGAGGAGGGCUGAUAUCCUUAGAUCCUAGGCAGAAUACUCAGGGCGAAGGCCACUCUCCACUAAGAUUGACGCUGAGAAACGAAGGUUAGGGUAGGAAAUAGGAUUAGAUACCCCGGUACUCCUUUCUGUAAACGAUGAAUGGUAGUCAUUAGUUUUAUUUCAAACUAGAGACGAAGUUAACACAAUAACCAUUCCGCCUUGUGAGUACUACUGCAAAGUAGAAAACAAAAAAAUUAGUCGGUCUCGAAGCAAACGGAGUGAAGCAUGUUAUUUAAU